AGGACGAACGCUGGCGGCGUGCUUAACACAUGCAAGUCGAGCGAGGCCCCUCCCUUCGGGAGGGUGUCCUAGCGGCGAACGGGUGAGUAACACGUGGGCAACCUGCCCUCAGCUCUGGGAUAACCCCCGGGAAACCGGGGCUAAUACCGGAUACGACCUCCACGGGCAUCUGCGGAGGUGGAAAGGUUUUUUCCGGCUGAGGAUGGGCCCGCGGCCUAUCAGCUAGUUGGUGGGGUGAUGGCCCACCAAGGCGACGACGGGUA
rnacentral:rRNA from 1 species